rnacentral:rRNA from 1 species
UACGUAGGGUCCGAGCGUUGUCCGGAAUUAUUGGGCGUAAAGGGCUCGUAGGCGGUCUGUCGCGUCGGGAGUGAAAACUUACAGCUUAACUGUGAGCGUGCUUCCGAUACGGGCAGACUUGAGGUAUUCAGGGGAGAACGGAAUUCCUGGUGUAGCGGUGAAAUGCGCAGAUAUCGGGAGGAACACCGGUGGCGAAGGCGCCGCUCUGGGCCGAAACUGACGCUGAGGAGCGAAAGCGUGGGGAGCGAACAGG